rnacentral:rRNA from 1 species
GACAGAGGGUGCGAACGUUGCUCGGAAUCACUGGGCGUAAAGCGCGUGUAGGCGGGCGAUCAAGUCAGGUGUGAAAUCCCUGGGCUCAACCCAGGAACUGCAUCUGAAACUGGUUGCCUUGAGUGUUGGAGAGGGAAGCGGAAUUCCUGGUGUAGAGGUGAAAUUCGUAGAUAUCAGGAGGAACACCGGUGGCGAAGGCGGCUUCCUGGACAAUUACUGACGCUGAGACGCGAAAGCGUGGGGAGCAAACAGG